AUGUUGUGGCGUAUGGACAAUGAAUCUGUGUAUCAGUGUGACACCAACCAGGCAUACUUCGGCAGUGGCACCAAACUCACAGUUCUGGAUCCAAACAUCAACGUCACUGAACCCACAGUGAAAGUCCUUCCACCCUCACUAAGGAGUGUGAAGACAUAAACAAGAAGAAGAAGAAGACCCUGGUGUGUGUGGUCACCCACUUCUACCCCGACCACGUCACGGUCUACUGGCAAGUCAAUCAAUGUCAACACAACUGCAGGCGCCGGGACCGACAACAAGGCCUUGUGGGAUAAAGAUAGUUUAUACAGUAUCACCAGCAGACUGAGAGUCCCAGCCAAUGACUGGCACAACCCAAAGAACAGUUUCACCUGCAAUGUCAUCUUUUACAAUGGGACUGGAAAUACAACUGCGAAACACACCAUUAGUGGAGAUCUCCAAGGUCAAAUUGGGGGAGAGAUAACGACAGAUGACUAUGUGAAGAGCACCCAGACUGCCAAGCUGGCCUACAGCAUCUUCAUCGCUAAGAGUACCUUCUACGGCCUGGUCGUCAUGGUUAUGAUUUGGAAGUUCCAGGGCUCCUCAGAGAAACAGAUUUAACGGAAUACAAGUGGCCAAGGAGGAUGUCCUGCAUGGGUGUUCCAUGGGAUCAAGGACGGACUGGCAAAAGGGCAAUUCUGGCAAAUGCCAGAUGGACUGAUUCAUCUUUAGCCAGUGGGCCUGUCUAAAUGGCUUUAGUAAAGACAGCUUUAAGAAAAACAUGGGCAGGUGUGUUAGAAAGCCUGGGCCGGUUUCUGGUCCCAGUUUGCCCCUGCAUGUAAUUAUAUUGUCCAUUGUGCUUAUUGUGUCCAUCAUCUCUUUAUUACCCUGUCUAUGUGAAGAUGUGCUUUUAAGAAUCUCCUAUGAACAUGCAAUUUAAAUGUAUAUUUGAAUAAAUUCAGCCUAACAAUCUUUCCAUUAACUUACAAAACCAUUGUCUGUUUGUUUUUCCAGUAAUUACAGUAUAGUAUGUAUGAAUACAUUCUGCUUUCCGAUUUCUACAUGUUAAUUUGGGAAUAAAACUGAUAUAAUUGAGGACAGAUCGAAAUGUACCUCUCCACAGUUGAAUAUUUUCACGACCCUCCCCCUCAUAGAAUUAACUCAAUCUAAUGUUUACGACCACAAAUAACCAGAACUGUAGCGACCCUGUUUUUAUAAACGUGGAUAUCGACGUCGCCGCUUCAGCAAGCUUUUCUGGCACAGUUGAUGCCACGCAGGGCUUUGGGCCAGAAGGUUGAGGGUUCACCGACCACCACGGACGAGCUCACUCUCCCUGCCUGUUUCAUCACAUUACGAUCAGAGACUGAGGCAGACCAAGAUCAGCUAUGGGGAAAUCAGAUUUUCAACAUUUUGAUGCCACAUUUAUAUAAAAUAUAUGCAACAACUUUUCCACCGAUAGGUUUAACAACCAAUCAACAAAGCAUACCAACUUCUGGCACUUUAAUAAUCAUGGUUUGUGUUUUGAACAAACAGAAAAUACAUCCCUCCCUACCUUGUAGACUUAGCCAGUAAUGAAGGCUUGGCUUGACAAUCUCUUAGUGUCAUUAAACUUUAUGGUGUUUUGCAAAACAAUGUCUCUUUUCAUUCAUCAAUUGGCCACUGCACAGUUUGGAUUGAUUGAUUAAUUUUAAUUGUAUGUAAAUAAAAUACAUAUAUACACAUAAUUGUUUUAAGUGACUGGGAUUGUACAAUAAAGUCUGGGAUUUAUUUC